UAAGUGCACCACACCCUGGGAUGUGAAACUGGGACUUGUUCCAGAAAGAGACUGUGGUCAGAUGGGCAGGGCAUCAACAAUCCCUGAGGCUGAGCCCUGGGUAGAGCCUUUAAGUCAGCUGCUCGUCCUGGGCCUCAGGAACAUGCUCAGACCUCGCCCUGUAGAACCGAAGGGGAAAAGAAGAGAAGCCCAGCUCCCACCAGUGAUGUGCUAAGAAAUUCUGGAGCUGUUCCCCAAGCUGGGGAUUGAGAAGCCCCACAAAGUUCCUGAGCCUGGUCACUAUCAACGGCUCACUACAGCAUUGUGGGAUGGACAUCAUCAUGUCAACUACAAGCCAGGCAUGACUUAACAGACUCCACGGGACAUUAUAGUCUAAGACAGGUUUGUGUAUGAGAAUUCUCACAGAGGCUUUUGGCCUGGGCCUGGUGAUGUGAGGAUACAUUCACCAGGAGGGGGAAAUGGGGCUUGGAGGAAUCGGGACUGACUGAAGCAGAAAGGAUGGUGAAGCAAAGGCCCUGAGCUGAGCCGAUGGAGUGGCGCACACCUGUAUUCCAGCGCUAGGGAUGCAGACGUGAGGAUCAGGAGUUCAAGACCAGCUUCAGCUACCAGCAAAUCUGAUAACAUCUGGGUCUCUACAAGACCCUACCUCAAGAAAAGAAGAAGAAGAACAACAACAAAAAAACCCCUGAGCCGGGAAAGAGUCAAAUAGUUUUGAGAACAGACACAGACAUCAAAGUCCGAAUAGGAGAUGAGAAGAGUGAAGAUCUCCCUCUCCUACCAUGAUGUCAAAGGCUUCACAUCUUGGAUGGAUUUGAAUUUCACAGAAAAUUGGGAUUCCCAAAAAGUUGUUCAUGGAGCUCUUGGAGGUCAACCACCUUCCAUUCAUGAGCUUUUGGUGGACAUUUUUUCCCAUUUUUUUAUUUCAUUUCAUAUUCCAAUCACAGUUUUCCCUCCCACCCUACCUCCCACCCCCCUUGACUCCUCCCAUCCACCCCACUUCCCCUCUAACCCACCCCCAGUCCACUCUUCCUCACAGGUAAUUGGUGGGACUUUUUUGAUUCAACCCGUAAUAACAGCCAACCUUGGGUUAACUGAACAAAGGUCCCCGGCAUUGUGGUCUAAGGUUCAGCAGGACAUUGGAGGAGCUGCAGGGGGAUCUACAUCAAUGUGUAGGACAAAUUGCUCAGUGCAAGCCAAGUGUUUCAUUCACCCUGUUCUCCACCAGGAAACAGCUAUCUGUUCCAAUGCCGGAAGCAACACUGGUGCGUGGGAUUUCCCAAAGCAAGCACACAUGACUCUACCACAGUGACUUCCUGAAAGAUGCAUAUGUGACUCCACCACACUGCCGUUCGUACUGUUGCUCUUUGUGAUGUGCAGCAUUUCAAGUCCAUAGUAAAUUGUGUGGGCAAGUCUGGAUACCUAGACAUUCCAGUGUCUCCUCAGUCAGUCCUGGCUCCUGGCUGGCCUCUCAGCUUGUCCUGAAUUCUUCUUCUUGCCUGCAUACUAUCUUCCAUCCUUCAGGAUCCAGUUCAGGCAGCCAUCAAAUACCCUGCAAGCAUGUUCCUUGCCUACUUUGGCUGAAUUUUGGUACCUAGGACCCAUAACAUCUAUUGCUCUGAUGGCCAAAGUCUACUAGCUUGUCUGUGUCCUUCACUGUUAGAUCUAUAGGUGAGCAGGUGCUGAACUGCUUCUCUAUAAUCCCAGAGACUAAUAACAUCUAGUUCCUGAUAGGCUUUAAACAAUGUUUACCAGGUAGAAUAUAGAAACCAUUUGUGCAUGGUAAUAUCUCCUGUAUUGGAUUGCCUGCCUUUGGUUGUGUACAUGCAUACAUAUGCACCCUCUGUUUAUUCCCCACUGCACUCCCAUUUCUCUGUCUUACUCUCAGUCUCCAUCUUGCUGCAAUAUAAUCAUAUUCUUGCUGUUAGUAACUCAAGAAUCCACUUCCAGGCCCACCUACUCUGCAUGCCUAUGGACCAUGCCUGUGGACUAUGCCUGCGGACCAUGCCUAUGGAUCAUGUAUGCCUAUGGACCAUGCCUGCGGACCAUGUCUGUGGACUAUGCCUGCGGACCAUGCUUAUGCACCAUGCCUAUGGACAAUACCUAUAGAUCAUGGCAUUUGCUUUUCUAGGAUUCUCAAGCUACUCCUUUUUCGACAUUUCUCUUCUCAACUAGAUUGUCAGCCUUAUGGAGACAGAAGCCGUAUGGCUCCCAGUAGGCGCCCUAUCACUGUUUGUUUAACAAAUGAACAAACAAAAUGAAUCUAAACAGGUGCAGUUUAGAGUUCCCUAAGGAACUCAGAAAGACAGGACUUCCAUUUGCAGCCAAACUCUCUGAUGGCCACCCAGAAAGAGUGACAAUGGAGGACAUCUGAGGACAUCCACCUCAGAUGUCAACUCUGUUCCAGCAUAAGCCUGAGAGCAGAAACCUCAUCAACUUUGUGACCCUGUACCUCCCUUGUUCCAUCCAUCCCUGCCUCGUUCCUAUUAUGUAGCUAUGUAACUCAGGCCUCUUUGAGGCAACAGAAACCUGACAAGCUUAGAAACAAACCUUAUCUCCUACAAUAUGCAAAAUUCUAUUCUCAACACUCAACACUGAAUAUUUUGGGACUAGAUCAGCGUACAGAAUUCCCAACAAGUUAGCAGGCACUUCUACAGACGACUCUCCCCUGGACUCCAGGUCUGCUCUCUUUUUAAAAGAUCUAUUUAUUUGUGUGUGUGUCUGUGUGGAUGUAUGCUAUAGCCACGUGUGUGCAUGCUGAAGAGGCUGGGAUAGGGUGUCAGGUUACCUGGAGCUGGAGCUGCAGGGAUACUGGGAACUGAACAUGGGUCUCCAUAAGAUCACCAGCCAUCUCCCCAGCCCCGGUCUGCUUCUCUCUCACUCCGUGAGGACACUACAGGGAGAGGUUGAGUUUUGAGUUCUCAGUCCCCAGACUGCCCCCAGAAGCCAUUUCAAACGAUGCUAUGCGUGGAGGAAGAGAAGGGGUUGGAGGCACAUACCCUCUAGGAAUCCCCACGAGUUCAAUUGCCCCAGAUCUAUCGGAACCCAUCUGUUUGGGGCUUAUAUGAAAGCACGAUCACAUGAUUCAUUAGACCCCUGGUCAUUGGUGAUCAACGUUAAGAGUCCAUCCUGCCCCCUUCGCUAGGGAAGAGAGUGGGGGGGGGUGAAAAGCUCCAGUAUUCCCACCUAUCCCUGCCCCAGUCUUUCUUGGAUCCAGACCCUUUCUGGAAGCUACUUAGAGGCUGCCAGCCACCAGCCAUCUCAUUAGCACACAGGACACUCACGCAUCACUUCAGAGAUUCUUAGGAAUUAUAUGCCAGGAAACUGGGACAGCGUUUAAAUGUAUAAACACCUUGUUAUAAAUCACAGUAUGACAACUCACUAAGCAAAAAGCUGGAAGAUAAUGCCUCGAAUAGUGAAACCACAGGCAAGGCAGAGCAACACAAGGUGAGGGCCGGAAUUCCUGUUUUCUCUCUUCUCCAAAUCCUGUUCCACCUCAUUGUCUCAGAACAGCUUACUUCACGCAGCAGGAGCCAAAGCAGCCUGUCAUCUUGGCACUCAAAUGCAAGCACCCCCUCAGCCAGGGCUUGAAGUGGACGUCCUGGAGAAAGGCUGGACUUGGCCUGGUUCAGGUCACCUGAGCAUGUCCAGAACCAAUCACCAGGACCAAUGGCUGAAGAACCUUUGUACUUGGGUCUGGGGUCCAUUAUUAGGAAGGGAUGGGUAUAGUAGAGAUCAUGGCCUCAGGGGAGUUCUUAGGACUAAGUUAAGGGGCCACCAGAAUUUACUGUUCUUACAUCUCUCAAAAUCCAGAACUCUGAUCUGUGGUGUGAA